GAUUGUGACAUAUCUCUGGAACCAGAACCUUAGUGAUGUGACUCUUCUCUCCUGCUGAAGCCAUGCCCACACAAGGGAAAGUGACUUAUCACUGGGCCCAGCACACAGGUGAUGUAAUUCUUCUGCCUGGUUUUUGUACCCAGGAGCCAUUGUAAUCUAUCUCUGGGCCCAUCAUUUAAAUGAUGUGACUGUCAUUUUCUUCCUGAGCCCUAUUCACAGGGAAAAUAGUGACACAUCUGUGGGGUUCUCAUGAAAUGAUGUGACUCUCCUGCCUGGGCUCGCCUCUCAAGGGAAUUGUGACAUAUUACUGGGCCAGCCACCUAGGUGAUGUGGCUCUGACAAAGGAGAAAUUGUGAUGUACCACUGUUCCACACCUAAGAGAUUUGACUCUCCUCUUUUCAUGAGCCCUGCAUUUAUUGUGUAUGGUGCCAUAUGGCUUGGUCCAACGCCUUGGUGAUGUGACUCUCUACUUCUUCCUGAGCUAUGCCAAAAAAGAAGAUUGUGACAUAUCACUGGAUCCAGUACCUAGAUGAUGUAAAUCUUUUCUUUUGCUGAGCCAUGCAUAUUUUUGGUAUUGUGACAUGUUGCUGGACCCAACACCUACAGGAUUGGAUCAGAGGCUACUGAAUAAGCCCUGCCCAUAGGCGGCCUUGUGACAUAUGUCUGCAUCUAUCGCCUAAGUGAUGUGACUCUUUUUCUGCCUGCAGCCUGCACAUAGAGAAGAUUGUGACAUAUCGCUUUGCCCAGUAACCAGGUGAUGUGUCUUUUCUGGCAGGUCUUUUCCCACAGGGAGCACUGUGAAACAUCACUGGGCUCAGCCACCAGGUUAUGUGACUCUUCUGCCUGUGCCCUGCUUCCAGAAAAUAUUGUGACAUCCCUCAUACAGCAUCCAGGUGAUGUGACUCUUCUGCUCAUUUUCUACUUACAGGAGACAUGCCCAAAAAAGGGAUUGUGGCAUAUCUCUGAGCCCAGCACCCAAAUGUUGUGACUCUCCUGCCUGAGCUGUGCCUAGAGAAAAUAUUAUAAUAUGUCACUGGACCCUGCAUGCAAGUGAUCCAAUUCUCCAGUCUGGGCCUUGCCCAUAGAGGAGAUUGAGACAUAUUCCAGGUGAAGAAUUCAGGUGGAUGGUGACUCUAAGACCAGGAUUCAACACACUUAGAAGGCUUUGACUCUGAUACCAGUCACAGAAGGCUCUGUGAGUCUUCUAUUUUCUCUAGGUCAUGCAAAUGGAGGCGGAUUUUGACAUAUCAUAAAGCCAACAUAAUACACAGUCUACAGGUGGAAUUGGGACUCUCAUGCAUGGAUCCAGUUCAUCAUUGAUACUGUGACUCAUGUACUUGGAUGCAACUCACAGGAGGUGUUGACGCUUUUACCUGAAGCUGGGACAUGUGUGGAAUUGUGAAUCUUAGCCCUAGAUCUUCCCACAGGUAUGAUUGUGACAUAUACUUUUGCCUAGCACCUGAGUGAUUUUACUUCCCUGCCUGGGCCCAGCUCUCAGAAAAGAUUGUGAUGUGACUCUCUUGCUUAAGCCCUACCCACAGAGGCUAUUGUGAAAUUUCACUGGGCCCAGCACUUAGGUCAUGUGACUCUUAUUUUCAGCCUGGGCCCUGUCCACAAAGUCUUUGUGAGAUAUCACUGAGCCCAGCAUCUCCAUGAUGUGACUGUACUGCCUGGGCCCUGCCCACAGUAGCUAUUGUGAAAUACUUCUGAACUCAUUACCUAGGUGAUGUAACACUCCUCCUUUGCCUGCAUUCUGCUACCCCCCAAAAAUGAACUGUGACAUACCACAGGCCCAAGCACUUAGGUGAUAUAACUCUCCUCUUCUGCCUGGGCUCUGGCCUCAGGGGAGAUUGAAACAUUGUACUGAGCCCAGAUUGCAGGUGAUGUGACCCUCUAUCUUAGGCUCUGCCCACAGGAGGUAUCAUGAUAGAUCUCUAUGGUCAUAAUUUAGGUGCUGUGACUCUUC